rnacentral:rRNA from 1 species
ACUCAAAUGAAUAGACGGGGGCCCGCACAAGCGGAGGAACAUGUGGUUUAAUUCGAUGAUACGCGAGGAACCUUACCUGGGCUUAAAUGUAGACUGCAUUAAUGGGAAAUCAUUAUUUCCUUCGGGACUGUCUGCAAGGUGCUGCAUGGUUGUCGUCAGCUCGUGCCGUGAGGUGUCGGGUUAAGUCCCAUAACGAGCGCAACCCUUAUCGUUAGUUGCCAGCGGGUAAAGCCGGGGACUCUAGCGAAACUGCCGGUGUAAACCGAGAGGAAGGUGGGGAUGACGUCAAAUCAGCACGGCCCUUAUGUCCAGGGCUACACACGUGUUACAAUGGCCGGUACAGAGGGCAGCUAUGCUGUGAGGCAAUGCGAAUCUCGAAAGCCGGUCUCAGUUCGGAUCGGAGUCUGCAACUCGACUCCGUGAAGCUGGAUUCGCUAGUAAUCGCGCAUCAGCCAUGGCGCGGUGAAUACGUUCCCGGGCCUUGUACACACCGCCCGU